AGAGUUUGAUCCUGGCUCAGACGAACGCUGGCGGCGUGCUUAACACAUGCAAGUCGAACGAUGAAGCCCUUCGGGGUGGAUUAGUGGCGAACGGGUGAGUAACACGUGGGCAAUCUGCCCUUCACUCUGGGACAAGCCCUGGAAACGGGGUCUAAUACCGGAUAAUACUCCUGCCUGCAUGGGCGGGGGUUAAAAGCUCCGGCGGUGAAGGAUGAGCCCGCGGCCUAUCAGCUUGUUGGUGGGGUAAUGGCCCACCAAGGCGACGACGGGUAGCCGGCCUGAGAGGGCGACCGGCCACACUGGGACUGAGACACGGCCCAGACUCCUACGGGAGGCAGCAGUGGGGAAUAUUGCACAAUGGGCGAAAGCCUGAUGCAGCGACGCCGCGUGAGGGAUGACGGCCUUCGGGUUGUAAACCUCUUUCAGCAGGGAAGAAGCGAAAGUGACGGUACCUGCAGAAGAAGCGCCGGCUAACUACGUGCCAGCAGCCGCGGUAAUACGUAGGGCGCAAGCGUUGUCCGGAAUUAUUGGGCGUAAAGAGCUCGUAGGCGGCUUGUCACGUCGGAUGUGAAAGCCCGAGGCUUAACCUCGGGUCUGCAUUCGAUACGGGCUAGCUAGAGUGUGGUAGGGGAGAUCGGAAUUCCUGGUGUAGCGGUGAAAUGCGCAGAUAUCAGGAGGAACACCGGUGGCGAAGGCGGAUCUCUGGGCCAUUACUGACGCUGAGGAGCGAAAGCGUGGGGAGCGAACAGGAUUAGAUACCCUGGUAGUCCACGCCGUAAACGUUGGGAACUAGGUGUUGGCGACAUUCCACGUCGUCGGUGCCGCAGCUAACGCAUUAAGUUCCCCGCCUGGGGAGUACGGCCGCAAGGCUAAAACUCAAAGGAAUUGACGG
rnacentral:rRNA from 1 species